UAACCUGCCUGGUAGCGGGGGAUAACUAUUGGAAACGAUAGCUAAUACCGCAUAAUAGUAGAUGUUGCAUGACAUUUGCUUAAAAGGUAGCAAUUGCAUCACUACCAGAUGGACCUGCGUUGUAUUAGCUAGUUGGUGAGGUAACGGCUCACCAAGGCAACGAUACAUAGCCGACCUGAGAGGGUGAUCGGCCACACUGGGACUGAGACACGGCCCAG
rnacentral:rRNA from 1 species